rnacentral:tRNA from 1 species
CAUAGCUCAAUGGCAGAGCAUCCGACUGUUAAUCGGACGGUUGCUGGUUCGAAUCCAGCUG